UCUUUGUCUAGGGCCAUCCUGCUUGUGGA
rnacentral:piRNA from 1 species